rnacentral:miRNA from 1 species
UCUGUCCACCUCUUCCCAG